UAAUCCCGCAUGUGCUCUCGAUUUUUAGAAACUUGAGAGUAAAGGAUUUAUUCGCUUCGAGAGGAGCCUGCGUCCCAUCAGCUGGUUGGUAGGGUAACGGCCUACCAAGGCUAUGACGGGUCGGGGACCUGAGAGGGUGGCCCCCCACAAUGGAACUGAAACACGGUCCAUACACCUACGGGUGGCAGCAGUAGGGAAUAUUAGAAAUGGACGAAAGUCUGAUCUAGCAACACCGCGUGUGCGAAGAAGGCCUUCGGGUCGUAAAGCACUUUUUGGAAGGAAUAGGAAGGAAUGUCUUCCAGAAUAAGUCUCGGCUAGCUACGUGGCAGCAGCCGCGGUAACACGUAGGAGCGAACGUUAUCCGGAUUUACUGGGCGUAAAGCGCGUGUAGGUGUACUGUAAGUAGGGCGUGAAAGCUCCCGGCUCAACUGGGAGAGGCCGUUCUAAACUACAGAACUAGAGGAUGGUAGAGGGAGGUGGAAUUCCAGGUGUAGCGGUGGAAUGCGCAGAUAUCUGGAGGAACACCAGUGGCGAAGGCGGCCUCCUGGACCAUUCCUGACACUCAGACGCGAAAGCUAGGGUAGCAAACGGGAUUAGAGACCCCGGUAGUCCUAGCCCUAAACGAUGUAGACUAGGCGUCGGAAGUUUAAUCACUUUCGGUGUCCAAGCUAACGCGAUAAGUCUACCGCCUGGGGACUACGGCCGCAAGGUUAAAACUCAAAGGAAUUGACGGGUCCCCGCACAAGCAGCGGAGCGUGUGGUUUAAUUCGUUGCUACACGAAGAACCUUACCUGGGUUUGACAUAGCAGUGGUAGGGAAGCGAAAGCGGACCGACCCUUCGGGGAGCUGUUACAGGUGUUGCAUGGCUGUCGUCAGCUCGUGUCGUGAGAUGUUCGGUUAAGUCCGCUAACGAGCGCAACCCGCGUUGUGUGUUACAAGUGUCACACCAUACCCCGGUAUUAGUUCGGAGAAGGUGCGGAUGACGUCAGUUCAGCAUGGUCUUUAUAUCCAGGGCUACACACACGCUACAAUGGUCGGCACAAUAGGUUGCCAAGUCGUGAGACGGAGCCAAUCCUCCAAAGUCGGCCUCAGUUCAGAUUGCAGGCUGCAACUCGCCUGCAUGAAGUUGGAGUUGCUAGUAAACGCAGGUCAGCUAUACUGCGUUGAAUACGUUCCCGGGGAUUGUACACACCGCCCGUCAAGUCAUGGAAGCUGGCAACACCUGAAGCCGGUAUCCUAACCCGUAAGGGAGGGAGCUGUCAAAGGUGGGGUUGGUGACUGGGACUAAGUCGUAACAAGGUAACC
rnacentral:rRNA from 1 species